ACAGCAGUAGUUUGGAUUUAUUCUUGGUGU
rnacentral:piRNA from 1 species